UACAGAGGGUGCGAGCGUUGUCCGGAAUCACUGGGCGUAAAGGGCGCGUAGGUGGCGACCCAAGUCGAUGGUGAAAGCUCGCCGCUCAACGGCGAGUCGGCCACCGAUACUGGGUUGCUCGAGCACUGUAGAGGCUAAUGGAAUUCCGGGUGUAGCGGUGGAAUGCGUAGAGAUCCGGAAGAACACCGGUGGCGAAGGCGGUUAGCUGGGCAGUUGCUGACACUGAGGCGCGACAGCGUGGGGAGCAAACAGG
rnacentral:rRNA from 2 species